GGAGAAUCUCCACUGAUCUCAUCUGCGUCUCCUGUAACUGGCUCUUCUCUGAUCAUCAGUGUGUCUGUGCUUCUGCUUCUGAUCUUCAGUGUGAUUCUGUUGGUGAUCGUCUCUCUCUGGAGGAGGCGUCAGUCUCACGACGCUCAUCCCUCAUCCAGAAGAUCUCACAGGACUCCAGCAAACACUGACGCGGCUUCUAAUUAUCAUUGUGAUUACGAGGAGACUGAAGAC